CCGGCUACAUAAACUCGUUUGAAGGUGAUUCAAGACAUCAGUUGUUCAAUUCAUCAAAAGUACGCAACACGAAACUAACAAAUGGAAUUUCUUUUGAUUUUAUUGGUUUACAUUUUCAUCGCUUAUUGAAAAGUUUCAAUUUCUUUUCGUAGUUUGUCAUCGGCACUUUCUUGGCUAUUGCUGCCGCUGCGCCUUCCAGCAACAAGCCGGAAUACAAAGCUCCUAGCUAUACUACCCCAAACUUCCCUGCACCAAAGUACCCUACUACUAGCUAACCUGCACCAGCUUACUCUACUCCCAGCUACAACAAGGAUAACAAAUACGCUGAUAUCACCAUCACCAGCCAAUCUGACGAACGCAUCCUCGAUGGCAGCAGCCAAUGGAGGUCUGGGAAUGGCUGAAAAGAGUGACGCAAAAGUCAGGACAGUUUGAAAAAUGAUUGGAAUAAUUACCACACUGGCUGGAUACAUGGAAAGGAAAGGCUAUAAACUCCAAAUGGAGGAAAUUAGGUGUCCACAUGAAUUAUAAACGGUGGAUUAAUUGGACGACCAAACCCACUCUUUUUUCACGUUCUCUGCAGUUAACCAUCACAAAUAUGUUUUUAUUCUGUUUUAUAUAAAUCAGGCAGAAAUGUAAAUAAAUUUUUGUCGUGACCCUCG